rnacentral:rRNA from 1 species
CCUACGGGUGGCAGCAGUGGGGAAUCUUGCACAAUGGGGGAAACCCUGAUGCAGCGACGCCGCGUGAGCGAUGAAGUAUUUCGGUAUGUAAAGCUCUGUCAGCAGGGAAGAAAAUGACUGUACCUAACUAAGAAGCCCCUGCUAACUACUUGCCAGCAGCCGCGGUAAUACGUAGUGCGCAAGCGUUAUCCGGAUAUACUGGGUGUAAAGGGAGCGUAGACGGUCCUGCAAGCCAGAUGUGAAAGCCCGGGUCUCAACCCCGGGACUGCAUUUGGAACUGUAAGGCGAGAGUGUAGGAGAGGAAGGCGGAAUUCCUAGUGUAGCGGUGAAAUGCGUAGAGAUUAGGAGGAACACCAGUGGCGAAGGCGGCCUGCUGGACGAUGACUGACGUUGAGGCUCGAAAGCGUGGGGAGCAAACAGGAUUAGAUACCCGAGUAGUC